GAUGAACGCUGGCGGCGUGCCUAAUACAUGCAAGUCGAGCGAACGGACGAGAAGCUUGCUUCUCUGAUGUUAGCGGCGGACGGGUGAGUAACACGUGGAUAACCUACCUAUAAGACUGGGAUAACUUCGGGACACCGGCGCUAAUACCGGAUGAUCUUUUGAACCGCAUGGUUCAAAAGUGAAAGACGGUCUUGCUGUCACUUCUAGCUGGAUCCGAGCUGCAUUAGCUAGUUGGUACGGUAACGGCUUACCAAGGCAACGAUGCAUAGCCGACCGGAGAGGGUGAUCGGCCACACUGGAACUGAGACACGGUCCAGACUCCUACGGGAGGCAGCAGUAGGGAAUCGUCCGCAAUGGGCGAAAGCCUGACGGAGCAACGCCGCGUGAGUGAUGAAGGUCUUCGGAUCGUAAAACUCUGUUAUGAGGGAAGAACAGAUGUGUAAGGAACUGUGCACAGCUUGACGGUACCUAAUCAGAAAGCCACGGCUAACUACGUG
rnacentral:rRNA from 1 species